GCUGGUGUAGCUCAGUUGGUAGAGCAGCUGAUUUGUAAUCAGCCGGUCGCAGGUUCGAGUCCCGUCACCAGCU
rnacentral:tRNA from 3 species